rnacentral:lncRNA from 1 species
AAAGGAUACAUGUACGGGUUAAGGUACAUAUAAGGGCUAGGAAACACACCUGGCAUCAUAAAGAAAGGCGAUUGCGCGGGUAUCAUCUGUUGAAUUGCUGCGUCAGGUGACUGCGUCGGUGCUCUCGUUGGGGACGGUGAUUGCAUGGCCGCUGAUGAUGAGCCGGGUGAAUGUCUGGGCCUCGUUGAGGGGCUGCCUUCGUAGUCUUGUCGCCUUGGAUUUAGAGGCCCGCGCCUUUCCCUUCUGCCACGUAUUUUCUGCUGCCUCUCCUCUCGCGUAAGUAAAUACGGCUUACCAUAGAUCCUAAACCAUGGCAUGUAUUCUGGAAUGCACGCUAACUCCGGAACGAUGAUUUCUUCCCGAGUAGGUAGAUAUUCAUGCCGAUUUUCC